rnacentral:lncRNA from 1 species
CGGAAGAGAAAGUCGGGGAGAAAAUGUCAAUCUUUAUUUCGUUUCGAAGUUGUUGUAGUUACAUUGCAUAGACUUCUUUAAAUGGGGUUUCUAAGACCCUACUCUAAGUAAGGUAAUAAAUUAAAAAUUAAUAAAGUUUCUUAAAAUGCGCAUUAAAAUUGAAAACUAAUUAUAAUAAUAUCCUAUCUGAUUCUCCAUCAUAAAGUCAUUCAAGAAAUCGACUUUCUUAUUGCUAUUAAAACUGACACGAGAAAAAUUUGGAUGACUUUAAUUUUGGUCUCUCGGAAGCAUUGAAUUGGGUUCUCCCAUUUUCGGUAGUAUAUUUAACCAGCCACAGUCCUAAAUUUCAACAAAUUGCACGUUCUGCCAGGACUCACACUUUUCUGGCUGUCCCAGAAAAUGGUAGUGAAGAGACACGUCUUUGUAAUGGGACUCUACAAGGGCUCUUUAUCUAUAAGCCCUUCUUGCCAAUUAAAUAUAAUUUUACUGGUUAUAUUGCUUUUAUCAGAUACUUUCUUGUUUACAUUUUUCCGUGUUUUCAUGUGUUGCAGAAGAUACAGGCGCAGGAGUCCAAGUAGGGGCAGGAGUUCUACGAAAUAUCGUUCUCCUUCUCAUUCCCGGUCUCCCUCUGGAUCUCGUUCGCACACGCGUUCACGCUCGCCCUACUCUAGUUCUCGAUCUCUCUCCCGCUCUACCUCGCCACGGUAAUUUUUCAUCUGUUCGGUUAAGCUCCUGUUCACUAUCCUGCUUGCUUAUAAUGGUAAGAAAUUUCAGGGGAAGAAGACGGUCAAGGUAUUGAAAAUGAUUUUACACUUGAAUUCGAGGAGGUGCAAAUAGAAGUAUUCAGCUGGCUGCCUGCAGCUAUUCCUCGUGUCCUUAGUACCCGUUUGUCUCAGCAGGGGUUUGGUUAAAAGAACACCUUGCUGGUCUACUAUACUGCUUAAUAUUAUAUAUAACUGAAAUGUGUGUAUUAAAGAAUCUUCUCCACCAGAUGGUUAUUGGAGCCAUGAGAUCUUUGCUUAGGGAGGCAAGACUCUGGCCCAAAAUAAGAUUAGCUAAAACGUGCAAAAUGUCUAGUUGAACUUGAAUCCCAGCUCAUUGUGUUUAUCCUUUAUUUAUUUAUUCAGUUAUUCUUGUGGUAUGAUUUUUUGGUUCUUAUAUUUGAGUUGCUGAAUUUGUCACUACCUGACUUUAGGCAGAAGAUUAACAAUGGAAAUUCACACAAAUAUCAGUAAGUGGAGCCAAAGAAAGAUUUUAAUACUUUUAUGCAAGACCCUUCUUUUGUGAGUGGGGAAAUAUGAACUUUAUGGGUUAAGAUUAAAAACUUUAGUUUAGUUUUGUGAACUGAUUGACG